GGAGGCAAAUGAUGUUUAAACAAAAUCUUAUACUACACACUGAAAUUUAAUGAAGAAAAAUUAACUCUCAAUUAGUUUUCUGAUGCCUCU
rnacentral:snoRNA from 1 species